rnacentral:rRNA from 1 species
UAGGGAAUCUUCGGCAAUGGGGGGAACCCUGACCGAGCAACGCCGCGUGAGUGAAGAAGGUUUUCGGAUCGUAAAGCUCUGUUGUUAAGGAAGAACGAGUGUGAGAAUGGAAAGUUCAUGCUGUGACGGUACUUAACCAGAAAGGGACGGCUAAAUACGUGCCAGCAGCCGCGGUAAUACGUAUGUUGCGAGCGUUAUCCGGAAUUAUUGGGCUUAAAGGGCAUCUAGGCGGUAAGACAAGUUGAAGGUGAAAACCUGUGGCUCAACCAUAGGCUUGCCUACAAAACUGUUGAACUAGAGUACUGGAAAGGUGGGUGGAACUACACGAGUAGAGGUGAAAUUCGUAGAUAUGUGUAGGAAUGCCGAUGAUGAAGAUAACUCACUGGACAGAGACUGACGCUGAAGUGCGAAAGCUAGGGGAGCAAACAGG